rnacentral:lncRNA from 1 species
GCUGUUGUGUGUUCUCUCGUGUUCACGUUUCAGUGGAUUAGUUGCUGUUUGUUCUGGAGAAGAGGUCGCCCUCCCGACUAUCAAACCCGAUGAGAUAUCAUGAUGAUACUGGACACAGUCACAUUCUGGAUGGUCGCCGUGGCGUCAGUGGGUUUCGCGCUGAGGUUAGAAGAUAUCCGCUGCAACAAUCCACUAGAUAGUAUCAUACAACCUAAUGUGUGUGAACAUGGAUGUAAAGAUGGGUACUGGGGCAUGUACUGCAACAGACGGUGUCCCAAACAUUCCUACAAAUGUGACCGAUUCACGAGGUACUGCCUAGCGUCCUGCGCCGAUGGAUACUUUGGACAUGUAUGCAACUUCCCGUGCCCCCAUUGUAAGAGGUGUAACGAGCGGGGCAUGUGUGUUUCGGAUGACUAUAAUGUUAACACACAUUCGAAAUCACAACGUCAUACACAAACCAUGUUUGAGACCGAUUUAGCUUCAAGAGGGCGUGCUCUUUCUUCAAAUGUUGCCGUUGUGCUAAUUACCCUGUCAUUGCCUUGGAUCAAUUUAUGAUGGUACCAAAGAGCAUCAAUUUGGACAUGCCAGAUACAUCGAAUAAUGGUGACAAAAGAAGAUUGGCUAGUGGACAAUAUAAAUAACUAAUUAAAACAUGAUAUAUUCAUUAUAUAUCCAAUAACAAAUGUUUUUGUACUUAAAGACGUUUACCAAAUACUUUCCCAGAUUACAAAGCAUGUAUACCUUUGAACAGUAAGAAACUAUCAUUUUAAACAUUAUAGAAGAUCUAAACCAGUAAUAGCGUUUUGUAUAUAUUUUUCUUAUAUCAUUAAAUGCAGAACAACAUAAUACAAAAUGUUAUUCAUCUUCAAGAUUUCCACUAUUACAUAAUAUAGUUAUAUAGUAAAAGUUAUGUGCAGUUAAUCUUAAUUUAGAAACACAUACUGUACUCUAUACACAUUUGGGAUUGAUUUAAUCAAGUAAAGCUUCUUAUUUAAAGGGA